rnacentral:rRNA from 1 species
UGGGGAAUAUUGCACAAUGGGCGCAAGCCUGAUGCAGCAACGCCGCGUGAACGAUGAAGGUCUUCGGAUCGUAAAGUUCUGUUGCAGGGGAAGAUAAUGACGGUACCCUGUGAGGAAGCCCCGGCUAACUACGUGCCAGCAGCCGAGGUAAUACGUAGGGGGCUAGCGUUAUCCGGAUUUACUGGGCGUAAAGGGUGCGUAGGUGGUCUUUCAAGUCGGUGGUUAAAGGCUACGGCUCAACCGUAGUUAGCCUCCGAAACUGGAAGACUUGAGUGCAGGAGAGGAAAGUGGAAUUCCCAGUGUAGCGGUGAAAUGCGUAGAUAUUGGGAGGAAAACCAGUAGCGAAGGCGGCUUUCUGGACUGCAACUGACACUGAGGCACGAAAGCGUGGGUAGCAAACAGG